rnacentral:rRNA from 1 species
UACAUGGGGUGCAAACGUUUGCUCGGAAUCAUUGGGCGUAAAGCGCGCGUAGGCGGUUACUUAAGUCGAAUGUGAAAGCCCUCGGCUUAACUGAGGAAGUGCAUCCGAAACUGAGUAGCUAGAGUACGAAAGAGGGUCGCGGAAUUCCCGGUGUAGAGGUGAAAUUCGUAGAUAUCGGGAGGAACACCAGUGGCGAAGGCGGCUCACUGGCCCGGUACUGACGCUGAGGUGCGAAAGCGUGGGGAGCGAACAGG